rnacentral:tRNA from 1 species
AUAAGGUGGCUGAGAUUAAGCAUUAGAUUGUAAAUCUAAAGACAAGUUUACUUUCUUAUUAG